GAUGAACGCUGGCGGCGUGCCUAAUACAUGCAAGUCGAGCGAACAGACGAGGCGCUUGCUCCUCUGACGUUAGCGGCGGACGUGUGAGUAACACGUGUAUAACCUACCUAUAAGACUGGGAUAACUUCGGGAAACCGGAUCUAAUACCGGAUAAUAUAUUGAACCGCAUGGUUCAAUAGUGAAAGACGGUUUUGCUGUCACUUAUAGAUGGAUCCGCGCCGCAUUAGCUAGUUGGUAAGGUAACGGCUUACCAAGGCAACGAUGCGUAGCCGACCGGAGAGACUGAUAGGCCACAUGAGAACUGAGACACGCUCAAUACUCCUACGGGACGCAGCAGUAGCGAAUCGUCCGCAAUGGGCGAAAGCCUGACGGAGCGACGCCGCGUGAGUGAUGAAGAUCUUCGGAUCGUAAAGAUCUGUUAUUAGGGAAGAACAAAUGUGGAAGUAACUAUGCACGUCUUGACGGUACCUAAUAAGAAAGCAACGGCUAACUACGUG
rnacentral:rRNA from 1 species